rnacentral:rRNA from 1 species
GACGAACGCUGGCGGCGUGCUUAACACAUGCAAGUCGAACGGAAAGGCCCUGCUUUUGUGGGGUACUCGAGUGGCGAACGGGAGAGUAACACGUGAGUAACCUGCCCUUGACUUUGGGAUAACUUCAGGAAACUGGGGCUAAUACCGGAUAGGAGCUCCUGCUGCAUGGUGGGGGUGGGAAAGUUUCGGCGGUUGGGGAUGGACUCCCGGCUUAUCAGCUUGUUGGUGGGUAGUGGCUUACCAAGGCUUUGACGGGUAGCCGGCCUGAGAGGGUGACCGGCCACAGUGGGACUGAGAUACCGCCCAGACUCCUACGGGAGGAAGCAGUGAGGAAUAUUGCACGAUGGGCGGAAGCAGUAUGCAGCACCGCCGCGUGCGGGAUGACGGCCUUCGGGUUGUAAACCGCUUUCGCCUGUGACGAAGCGUGAGUGACGGUAAUGGGUAAAGAAGCACCGGCUAACUACGUG